rnacentral:rRNA from 1 species
AUAACCCCGGGAAACUGGGAUUAAUACAGGAUAGAUCAUCUCAUCUGGAAGGAGAGAUGGCUUAAAGGGGUGCGCGAGCUUCUUUUGUGCAUCCGCUCCAGGAUGGGACUGCGACCGAUCAGGCUGUUGGCGGGGUAAUGGCCCACCAAACCUGUAACCAGUACGGGCCUUGAGAGAGGGGGCCCGGAGAUGGACACUGAGAGAAGGGUCCAGGUCCUACGGGGCGCAGCAGGCGCGAAACCUUCGCAAUGCGCGAAAGCGUGACGAGGUUAAUCCGAGUGGUUCCCGCUGAGGGAAUCUUUUGUUGGCUCUAAAAAGGCCGGUGAAUAAGGGGAGGGCAAGUCUGGUGUCAGCCGCCGCGGUAAUACCAGCUCCUCGAGUGGUCGGGGCGAUUAUUGGGCCUAAAGCAUCCGUAGCCGGUUCUGUAGGUCCUCUGUUAAAUCCAACGGCUUAACCGUUGGCCUGCAGAAGAUACCGCAGGACUAGGAGGCGGGAGAGGCGGACGGUACUCUACGUGUAGGGGUAAAAUCCUUUGAUCCGUGGAAGACCACCAGUGGCGAAGGCGGUCUGCCAGAACGCGCUCGACGGUGAGGGAUGAAAGCUGGGGGAGCGAACCGAUUAGAUACCCGGGUAGUCCAGCCGUAAACGAUGCGAGCUAGAUGAUUCAAUCGCAAAUCGCGAUUGAAGUGUCGCAGGGAAGCUC